UACGUAGGGUCCGAGCGUUGUCCGGAAUUAUUGGGCGUAAAGGGCUCGUAGGCGGUCUGUUGCGUCGGGAGUGAAAAUUCACAGCUUAACUGUGAACUUGCUUCCGAUACGGGCAGACUUGAGGUAUUCAGGGGAGAACGGAAUUCCUGAUGUAGCGGUGAAAUGCGCAGAAUAUCAGGAGGAACACCGGUGGCGAAGGCGGUUCUCUGGGAAGUAUCCUGACGCUGAGGAGCGAAAGUGUGGGGAGCGAACAGG
rnacentral:rRNA from 1 species